AUGGGGAGCCCCCGCCCAUCUCCCCGCCGGCUUCACCCCGAAAUGUGGGCGCGGGCGCCGGCGGGUGCUGCGGAGGGCGGGCGCUGCAGCCGGCAGGACGCUGCUUGUCCCGGUGCCUGCCCCGCGGCUCGCGGUCCAGCAGCCUCGCAGCGCCGCGCCGGCGAGCGCAGCAAACCCUUGGCCCCGGGGCGGGUGCUCCCCGGGGGAAACCGAGGCACCGGUGGGGAAAGCCGGGACGGGGCGCAGGAGUCUCGCUCUUCCCCCAGAGCACCUCGGGGUGCUCUGGGUGCCCCCGCCAGGCACGGGGAGCUUCGCCCCGGGGAGCUACGGGGCCGGGAGCGGGGCAGCGGGGGCGGCGCGUCCCCCCCGGGGCUCCCAGGUGCCUUGGCAGGGCUCGGGGACCCCGGGGGCCGCGGGCGCAGCCCUCGCUCGGGGCAGCUUUGGCGGCCGCUGGCGCUUGGCUUCACCGGAGCCAGCCCAACGCUGCGGGGUGCACGGGGGCCACCGGCUCGGCUGGGGCACGCGCCCCCGUGGUGGGGGUCCUGGCAAAGCCCCCCCCUGGCUCUGCCACCCCCUGCCCGGGGCCGCGACCCACGCGGGGCAGGGGGAGGCCGGGAGGAAGCGGCUGCCAGCUGGGCUCGAUGCCGGCUACAAAGGCGGCCCAGAAAGCCCGAGCGGAAUGAGGUGGCGCCCGGCCAGGUUCCCACGGCGGCCCCGGUUAAGAAAAUACACCCGGAGCUGGUGGCGGUUGCCGCAGUGACGGGCCGGGUGCUGUGCCACGGGGGGGGGCACGGCUGGACCCAGGUGUGCCCAGCCAGGACCCCGGUGUGGGCCACAAGGGCCGGGUGGCGGAGCUGGGCACCGGUGGGGACCAAAGGCUCCUGCCCUGGCUCCUGCUGCCCCUGCCAGCCUUUGAUGUGCCGGGACUUCGCCCUCGGUAAAGCUGGGAGGCUCCCGAGGAGCUCCAGGCUGCAGCACGCUGAGGUGCCGGCACCCAGCACCACCGAGGUCCCGGCACCCAGCACCGCCGAGGUCCCGGCACCCAGCACCGCCGAGGUCCCGGCACCCAGCACUGCCGAGCGGGGCGAGCACAGAGCCGGUGUCCCCGCGGCCUCCCCACUGCCUGCUCCACCAUGGGGCCGCCCUCACCUCCGGCCCCGAGCCCCCCGCUCCUCGCCGGGCCGCGGGGAGGAAGCGGCCGCAGCUGCCUGUGCCGGUGGGGCUCUUCCUGGCGGGGCUGGCGCCGGCUGGGGCCCGGGGUGGGGAAGGGAAGCCGGGGGGAGCCGGGGAGGCUGCCCUCAGGAAUGCCCCCGCGCCGCGCUUUCAUCCCCGCUGCCUCAAAGGCCGCCUGUGUGCAGGAGCGGCCGCCCCCCGGCCGGGUAUAAAUAG
rnacentral:lncRNA from 1 species